GACGAACGCUGGCGGCGCGCUUAACACAUGCAAGUCGAACGGAAAGGCCUGCUUUCCCUUGUGGAUUGCGGGUACUCGAGUGGCGAACGGGUGAGUAACACGUGAGUGAUCUGCCCCCAACUUGGGUAUAAGCCUGGGAAACUGGGUCUAAUUCCCGAUAGGACUGCAGGGUGGUGCCUGUGGUGGAAAACGAUUUUCUAGUGGUUGGGGAUGAGCUCGCGGCCUAUCAGCUUGUUGGUGGGGUAAUGGCCUACCAAGGCGGCGACGGGUAGCCGGCCUGAGAGGGUGGACGGCCACAUUGGGACUGGGAUACGGCCCAGACUCCUACGGGAGGCAGCAGUGGGGAAUAUUGCACAUUGGGCGGAAGCCUGAUGCAGCGACGCCGCGUGGGGGAUGACGGCCUUCGGGUUGUAAACUCCUUUCGACCGCGAGGAAGCCACCUGGUUGGAAGGGUGGUGACGGUAGUGGUAGAAGAAGCACCGGCUAACUACGUG
rnacentral:rRNA from 1 species